CGUCAUUUAGUUGGGGACUCUGGGGAGACCGCUGCAGUAACAAUGCAGAGGAAGGUGGGGACGACGUCAAGUCAUCAUGGUCCUUAUGUCCAGGGCUACACACGUGCUACAAUGGUAGUUACAGAGGGCAGCGAGGCCGCAAGGCGGAGCUAAUCUCAGAAAAGCUGCCACAGUUCGGAUUGAGGUCUGCAACUCGGCCUCAUGAAGCUGGAAUCGCUAGUAAUCGCGUAACAGCAUGACGCGGUGAAUACGUUCCCGGGCCUU
rnacentral:rRNA from 1 species